UAGACACGGGGCGUGGGGAGAGCAAAUACGGCCGAGUGUCAUCAGCACGCCUCAUAAAGUAUCCGGCACUUCCGCAGGCUGCAGUGCUUUACAGGACUUGUGAUGUAGAUCGUCGUCAUUUUUGUUUCACAAACAAGGAAGGAGAAUCUCAGAGAUUCCGUAAACUCCAUAAAGCGGUGAUUCAUGACAGAAGCAGGGACGCAACUUCGACCAGUUGUGAAGGAUCAAACCCAGGACCGUGUUCAGGCUAAGCAAGCAUCCAACCACUGCGCUACAUCAGAAGCCCUUUUUUUGUGACUGGCUCUCUCUAUGUAAAGCUGACCUUGAACUUCCUCUGUACUCCACAUUGACCUGGAAACUGUCCUCUCUCUACCUACAUAGUGCUUGGAUUAUAGCUGUGACCACCUCAGGUGAACAUGCUUUCAUUUCUUCUGAUACUUUUACAUGUUAUUAUCAAGAUGGCCUAACUCUAAUUUUCCAUUUCUGUAGGGGAAAAUGUCUAUAAACAUUUCAGCUCAAUAAAUAGUUGAUUGUGGUGGAAAUAAAACUUUUUUUUUUAUUCCCA
rnacentral:lncRNA from 1 species